rnacentral:rRNA from 1 species
AUGCAUGCGAUGUGGCACAAGACCGGCAAUACCUUGCCGGCGAUGGUCAAUGGUCGGCAGACAGGCAGCAAAAAGGUUCUGGUGCUGCACACCAACAAGAACUUCGACCAAACCCGCAAAAAAGAACUUCGACUAGCAGAGGACCAACUGGGUGAUGCACCAGUACCACCUCGGGGACCUGGAGCAAGAGAAGGAGCGGGAGAUGGUCUUCUAAUUCUCUCAUUUAUUGAGCAGCCCACCCGCUCCCUCCUAUCCCCUCCCCCUGCCUGCCAGCCCCGUGAUCCAUCGCACAGAUGGCAGGUACUACAGCGACCUCCUCCGCAGCGGAUCCGGCCUCCUCCGAUGGAGAUCCAUCCUGCGCACCGCCUUAUUCUCAUGCGUGCACGUCUAUAUCAACGUCUCAUUCCACCUCACCUGAGCCUUUACCUUCCCACCUCUGCUUCAGAUCCACAUCACUUUGCAAGGUAUGUGCUUGAUUGUUCUGAAUUGGAUCGAUGGAUUAUGCAAGAGUCUAGGUGGUGGGCCUCCUUGAUCCACUUGGUGGAUGAGGGCGACUCCGGUCCUGGCACCCAUAGUGCCAGUGAUCCAAAAAUCAUAGGGCCUGGAUAUAGCUCAAGCAGACGCAAGCCACAAGCGGUGGUGGUGAUUGGCUGGGUGGUGUCGCUACCUUGGGAAGAGACGAAAGCCUGCCCACGACACCCUACGACCACGUACCGCUCGUCCUCCCACCUUCCCCGAUUCCCAACCAGCCUGGAUCCCAUCGUCGGUGACCUCCGCCGUCGCGCGCCUGGCUUAUACUCCUUCCACUCCUUGCCCGUGUCCGGCGCCCGCCGCCGACCGUCCCAUGGCGCCGCUACCGUGGCCACCCUCUUCUCCUCCCGCCCCACCGCGACGGUUCCGACACCCAGCGCCAUCGCCGGCCGUGGAUCCCGCUGGCCAUGGAUCUUGGGCGCCGCCGCAAGCUCUGAUCCCGCCGGCCGCCGUCGGGAUCCCCGACUGAAGAUGAGUAACCCCGCUGCCCCCUCACGGAGCCUCCUCCCUGUGGGGACCCACGCCACCAGGCCUCCUGCCGCCGGCCCCCAUGGCCCAACAUGCUUCCCGCCGCGGCUCCCCGCCGCGCCUCCGGCCGCCCGCCACCUGUUCCAACGCGCCUUCCGGUGCCCUCCCAUGCCCGACGACCCUCCAGCGGCCGGACCUCCACACUGGCCCCCUGCGAGAAGUUCGCAUUGGAUCCCGCCUCUCCUCUCGUGCGUCGCUAAGGUAGCUUUUGGUUUGUACCAACCAUUUAAGAUGGUAUCUCAUUUGAAUGUUGUAUGCAUGCAGGCCAGCGCUCUCUGUGGCACCGCGGAGCCGUUUGCCUGGCGGGUCGAGAAGGUCGUCAAGGGACCGUUCGAGGUCGCCGGCCACAAGGAUUGA